UGGGCGAAAGCCUGACCCAGCAAUGCCGCGUGAGUGAUGAAGGCCUUAGGGUUGUAAAGCUCUUUUACCCGGGAUGAUAAUGACAGUACCGGGAGAAUAAGCCCCGGCUAACUCCGUGCCAGCAGCCGCGGUAAUACGGAGGGGGCUAGCGUUGUUCGGAAUUACUGGGCGUAAAGCGCACGUAGGCGGUUAUUCAAGUCAGAGGUGAAAGCCCGGAGCUCAACUCCGGAAUUGCCUUUGAAACUAGAUAACUUGAACACGGGAGAGGUGAGUGGAAUUCCGAGUGUAGAGGUGAAAUUCGUAGAUAUUCGGAAGAACACCAGUGGCGAAGGCGGCUCACUGGACCGUUGUUGACGCUGAGGUGCGAAAGCGUGGGGAGCAAACAGGAUUAUAUACCCUGGUAGUCCACGCCGUAAACUAUGAUAACUAGCUGUCACGGCACUUGGUGCUCUGGUGGCGCACCUAACGCCUUAAAUUUUCCCCCUGGGGAGUACGGUCCUCAGAUUACU
rnacentral:rRNA from 1 species